AUGGAGUGUGUGCUCGGCUGGGAUUCCCUUGUUGCUAUUUUAAAAGGUGUCCAGGGAGAGGUACAGCUGGUGGAGUCUGGGGAAGAUUUGGUGAAGCCUGGAGGGUCCCUGAGACUCUCCUGUGUGGCCUCUGGAUUCACCUUCAGUAGCAGUGAAAUGAGCUGGGUCCACCAGGCUCCAGGGCAGGGGCUGCAGUGGGUCUCAUGGAUUAGGUAUGAUGGAAGUAGCUCAAGGUAUGCAGACGCUGUGAAGGGCCGAUUCACCAUCUCCAGAGACAAAGCCAAGAACACGCUGUAUCUGCAGAUGAACAGCCUGAGAGCCGAGGACACGGCCAUAUAUUACUGUGCAGACACAUGGCUCUACAAGCCUAAUUCCCACCAGGAAUGA